rnacentral:rRNA from 1 species
UACGGAGAUUGCAAGCGUUGUCCGGAUUUAUUGGGCGUAAAGCGAGCGCAGGCGGUUUUUUAAGUGUGAUGUGAAAGCCCCCAGCUUAACUUGGGAAUGUCAUUUGAAACUGGGAGACUUGAGUGCAUUAGAGGAGAGUGGAAUUCCACGUGUAGCGGUGAAAUGCGUAGAGAUGUGGAGGAACACCGGAGGCGAAGGCGGCCCCCUGGGCUGGAACUGACGCUCAUGUGCGAAAGCGUGGGGAGCAAACAGG